CUACGGGACGCUCCAGUGAGGAAUAUUGCACAAUGGGGGGAACCCUGAUGCAGCAACGCCGCGUGGAGGAUGACGCAUUUCGGUGUGUAAACUCCUUUUAUAUGUCAAGAAAAUGACGGUAGCAUAUGAAUAAGCACCGGCUAACUCCGUGCCAGCAGCCGCGGUAAUACGGAGGGUGCAAGCGUUACUCGGAAUCACUGGGCGUAAAGGGCGCGUAGGCGGGUUGGAAAGUCAGGUGUGAAAUCCACAGCUUAACUGUAGAACUGCACUUGAAACUUCUAAUCUAGAGUAUGGGAGGGGGAGAUGGAAUUAGUGGUGUAGGGGUAAAAUCCGUAGAUAUCACUAGGAAUACCUAAAGCGAAGGCGAUCUCCUGGAACAUUACUGACGCUAAGGCGUGAAAGCGUGGGGAGCAAACAGGAUUAGAUACCCCCGUAGUC
rnacentral:rRNA from 1 species